rnacentral:lncRNA from 1 species
UUAAAAAGUACCCAUGUGGUUUCGAAUUUUCUCACUUUAGUGUCUUGUGGUUUAAGGUGUAUCAAUUUAAUACUCUGUAGUUUUAUUUUUCUCUUUUUAUUAUCCAUUCCACUAAUUUUUUUUCAUUAAAUUAGUGAUAAAGUUAAAACUAAAAGAUACUAAAGUAAAUAUUCGAUAAAUCUAGGUGGGGUACCUGAAGUUUUUUGUAUAUAAUUUAACGAAAUGUUAAUAGAGGAACCGCCGAAAAGAGAAUGAUGAAACCACAUGGUACUAACUUGAUACACUUUAAACCACAGGGUACUAAAAUGAGAAAGUGCGAAACCACAUGGGUGGUAAUUGAAGUUUGCCCUAAUUUAUUUGAAUUAUGAACCAUUUUGAGUUCGUUAUCUAAUUUUUAAAAAUUCUAAUCUUACUGUACAAUCUUUCAAUUUGUUUGAUUUGAUUCAGUCAACGACACUUUUAUUUAAAAAUUUAAAUCGCCGUUUAUCUUUACAGAUUUAAUUAGUAUACUCCAUAAAAUUCUCACAACUAUAAAUCUAUUAGGGUGCGUUUGGUUCGCACUAUGAAAAAUUACUAGAAAUAAAAAGAUGUCUGAGAAUCUUAUUCCUAUGCACCCUAUUACUAAGAAUGUGACAUUUUUGUAUUUGGUUCGCACCCUAUUACUAAGAAUGUGACAUUUUUGUAUUUGGUUCGCACAGUCAUAUUAUUUAAUUAUGUUAUUUAAGAUUACAAAAAAUAUACAAUUAAUUUAUAUAUUUAUUUCUUUAAUUAAUUUUAGAUAAUGCUACCAAAAAUUUCAACAUCUUUUUAGAAAAAAGGGAGAGAGAACAUAGGUUAGAAAGAGAGAACAUAAUUAAAGAAAUAGGAAAAGAAAUAAAGUCGAAAUUAGAGGGAGUGAGAGAGUUGAGAUUUUAGAAAAAGAGGGGAGAGAGAGCUUAGUUUAGAGAGAGAAAAAGAGUUGAAGUUUAGAGAGAGAUAUAAGAUUAGAUUGUAAAGAAAAAUAAUACUAACUAGCCAGUAGAUAGAGAGAAAGAGAGAGAUUAGACAUAUUAUGAUUAUCCUAAUCCAUUAAUAUGAGGAUACCCACCAUUCUUCAAGGGAAUGAGAUUAGUAUUUUGGGAUGAAUCUCAUUUCUAAGUAAAUCCAAUAUUACCAACUAGCUUACUUAAUGCAUUUAGCCAGACACCAUAAUAUUUUUUUAUUACUAUUGGAUUAUACUAGGAAUCUUAAAAGGAUAGCGCGAACCAAACGCACCCUUAAAGUAAUUAUAUCAUAUUUUGAAGUCAAAGUAUUGUUGACUUACUCGAAUCAAACAAAUCGAAAGAUUAGAUAGUACAAUUAAAAUUUUAAAAUUUUGGAUAGCCGAUUCAAAAUGAUUCAUAGUUCAAAUAAGUAUUUACCAAAAAAAGAAAGUACCAAUCCAAUGAAAA